rnacentral:rRNA from 1 species
UAUUACGAAAGUCUGAUGGAGCAAUACCACAGGAACAAUGAAGGUCUUCUGAUUGUAAAGUUCUUUUAUUUAGGAAAAAAAGCGCGCUAGGAAAUGAGCGCGCCUUGAUGGUACUAAUUGAAUAAGUGACAGCUAACUAUGUGCCAGCAGCUGCGGUAAAACAUAGGUCACGAGCAUUAUCCGGAUUUAUUGGGCGUAAAGGAAGCGUAGGUGGGGAGGUUGAUCCAUUGUUAAAAGCAUUUGCUUAACAAAUGUGUGCGAUGGAGAUCGCCUCCCUAGAGUUAAUCAGGGGGUACUGGAAUUCAAUGUGUAGCGGUGGAAUGCGUAGAUAUAUUGAGGAACACCAGAGGCUAAGGCGAGUACCUAGGAUAUAACUGACACUGAGGCUUGAAAGCGUGGGGAGCAAAUGGGAUUAGAUACCCCAGUAGUCCACGCCGUAAACGAUGGGCAUUAGGCAUUUGACAUCUGGUCGAGUGCUGUAGCUAACGCGUUAAAUGCUCCGCCUGGGUAGUAUAUAUGCAAAUAUGAAACUCAAAGAAAUUGACGGGGACCUGAACAAGUGGUGGAGCAUGUUGCUUAAUUCGAUAAUACACGAAAAACCUUAAAAAGGCUUGCAAUCUAUUGGC